rnacentral:rRNA from 1 species
CCUACGGGUGGCAGCAGUGAGGAAUAUUGGUCAAUGGGCGUAAGCCUGAACCAGCCAAGUCGCGUGAGGGAAGACGGUCCUAUGGAUUGUAAACCUCUUUAGGCGGGGAGCAAUGCCGUGCACGCGUGCCCGGAUGGAGAUUACCCGUAGAAUAAGCAUCGGCAAAUCCCGUGCAAGCAGCCGCGGUAAUACGGGGGAUGCGAGCUUUAUCCGGAUUUUUUGGGUUUAAGGGGUGCUAAGGCGUAUUUUUAAUUCAGCGGUAAAAUGUCCGGGCUCAACCCGGGCCGGCCGUUGAAACUGGGGAUCUUGAGUGGGCGAGAAGUAUGCGGAAUGCGUGGUGUAGCGGUGAAAUGCAUAGAUAUCACGCAGAACUCCGAUUGCGAAGGCAGCAUAC